rnacentral:rRNA from 1 species
GUAAGGAAUAUUGGUCAAUGGACGAAAGUCUGAACCAGCCAUGCCGCGUGGAGGAUGAAGGUCCUCUGGAUUGUAAACUUCUUUUAUCUGGGACGAAAAAAGGUCUUUCUAGAUCGUCUGACGGUACCAGAUGAAUAAGCACCGGCUAACUCCGUGCCAGCAGCCGCGGUAAUACGGAGGGUGCAAGCGUUAUCCGGAUUCACUGGGUUUAAAGGGUGCGUAGGUGGGUUGGUAAGUCAGUGGUGAAAUCUUCGAGCUUAACUCGGAAACUGCCAUUGAUACUAUCAGUCUUGAAUAUUGUGGAGGUUAGCGGAAUAUGUCAUGUAGCGGUGAAAUGCUUAGAUAUGACAUAGAACACCAAUUGCGAAGGCAGCUUACUGGGAUGCAACUGACACUGAUGCACGAAAGCGUGGGUAUCAAACAGGAUUAGAAACCCUGGUAGUCC